rnacentral:rRNA from 1 species
ACGGAGGGUGCAAGCGUUGUUCGGAUUUACUGGGCGUAAAGCGCGCGCAGGUGGGCGUGCAAGUCGGAAGUGAAAUCCUGGGGCUCAACCCUGGGGCUGCUUCCGAAACUGCAGGUCUAGGGACUGGUAGAGGCUGGUAGAAUUCCCGGUGUAGCGGUGGAAUGCGUAGAUAUCUGGAGGAACAUCAGUGGCGAAGGCAACACCCUGGACUCAUACUGACACUGAGGUGCGAAAGCGUGGGGAGCAAACAGGA